rnacentral:rRNA from 1 species
GAUGAACGCUGGCGGCGUGCCUAAUACAUGCAAGUCGAGCGAACAGACGAGGAGCUUGCUCCUCUGACGUUAGCGGCGGACGGGUGAGUAACACGUGGAUAACCUACCUAUAAGACUGGGAUAACUUCGGGAAACCGGCGCUAAUACCGGAUAAUAUAUUGAACCGCAUGGUUCAAUAGUGAAAGACGGCUUUGCUGUCACUUAUAGAUGGAUCCGCGCCGCAUUAGCUAGUUGGUAAGGUAACGGCUUACCAAGGCAACGAUGCGUAGCCGACCUGAGAGGGUGAUAGGCCACACUGGAACUGAGACACGGUCCAUACUCCUACGGGAGGCAGCAGUAGGGAAUCUUCCGCAGUGGGCGAAAGCCUGACGGAGCAACGCCGCGUGAGUGAUGAAGGUCUUCGGAUCGUAAAACUCUGUUAUUAGGGAAGAACAAAUGUGUAAGUAACUAUGCACGUCUUGACGGUACCUAAUCAGAAAGCCACGGCUAACUACGUG